rnacentral:tRNA from 2 species
AAGGAUUUAAGUUAAGAUACAAACUAACAGCCUUCAAAGCUGUCAAUGGAGAGGGGCUCUAAGCCUUA